rnacentral:rRNA from 1 species
GACGAAUGCCGGCUGCGUGCUUAACACAUGCAAGUCGAACGGUGAACCAGGGCUUGCCCUGGGGAUCAGUGGCGAACGGGUGAGUAACACGUGGGCAACCUGCCCCUCACUCUGGGAUAAGCCCGGGAAACCGGGUCUAAUACCGGAUAUGACCUCGUGCGACAUCACAUGAGGUGGAAAGAACUUCGGUGAGGGAUGGGCCCGCGGCCUAUCAGCUAGUUGGUGGGGUAACGGCCCACCAAGGCGACGACGGGUAGCCGGCCUGAGAGGGCGACCGGCCACACUGGGACUGAGACACGGCCCAGACUCCUACGGGAGGCAGCAGUGGGGAAUAUUGCGCAAUGGGCGAAAGCCUGACGCAGCGACGCAGCGUGAGGGAUGACGGCCUUCGGGUUGUAAACCUCUUUCAGCGGGGACGAAGCGAAAGUGACGGUACCCGCAGAAGAAGCACCGGCUAACUACGUGCCAGCCGCCGCAGUAACAC